AUUGAACGCUGGCGGCGGGCCUAACACAUGCAAGUCGAACGAGUGGCGGACGGGUGAGUAAUGUCUGGGAAACUGCCUGAUGGAGGGGGAUAACUACUGGAAACGGUAGCUAAUAACGCAUACCAUCGGAUGUGCCCAGAUGGGUUUAGCUAGUAGGUGUGGUAACGGCUAACCUAGGCGACGAUCCCUAGCUGGUCUGAGAGGAUGACCAGCCACACUGGAACUGAGACACGGUCCAGACUCAUACGGGAGGCAGCAGUGGGGAAUAUUGCACAAUGGGCGCAAGCCUGAUGCAGCCAUGCCGCGUUUGUGAAGAAGGCCUUCGGGUUGUAAAGCACUUUCAGCGGGGAGGCGUUACCCGCAGAAGAAGCACCGGCUAACUCCGUGCCAGCAGCCGCGGUAAUAC
rnacentral:rRNA from 1 species